rnacentral:rRNA from 1 species
AUGGCCACGCCCCAGAACACACCGAUGUUGACAGCAUCAGUCUGCGUCCCAGAGACUGUGCAUGGUACACACUCCUUCAAAAUCGACAGGUACGACCUUCAUCGGGGUUUCGGUGUCGGCAACUGCAUCCAGUCCGCUAACUUCACUGUUGGCGGCCAUGAAUGGUGCAUCCGCUUCUACCCCGACGGCUACAACGAGGAUAACAAAGACUACGUGUCAGUUUUUCUCCAGCUCAAGACCAAGAACAUUGAGGUGAGGGCGAUAUACAAUCUGGUGUUGGUCAAUCAAGCAAUACAGCCGCCGGUGUUGCCUUCCAACUUCGCAAACUUCAGCGACGGACCUCCUGUGGUGUUUGACACUCGCAAUGACAAACUCGAGGCAUGGGGUUUUGUUGCAUUCAAGAAGAAGAGCGAGAUCGAAGGCUCAUCAUACAUUUUGGACAACUCAAUCAUCGUCGCAUGUAACCUUACUAUUAUCACAUUAAAGGAUGCCAAGGAGGUGGAAGCUGGGUUGGUCGGUGACAUCCAAGUGCCGCCAUCCGAAUUGGUUGCUAACCUUAGUAAAUUGUUGGGAUCUACAAAGGGAGCUGACAUGUGUUUCAAGGUCCAAAAUGAGGUAUUCCAUGCUCACGAGAUCAUCCUCGCGAUGCGGUCGCCGGUCUUCUGGGCAGAGUUCUACGGGCCGAAGAGGAUCGAGCAUAGGCACGUCAAAAACUUUGAAGAUAUGCAGCCCGGUGUCUUUAGAGAACUGCUCCACUUCAUCUACACCGACUCGUUGCCUCCGAUGAAGGACCUCAAUGCUGAUGGGUACGAACAAAUGCUCGGGCAUUUACUUGUGGUUGCAGAUAGAUAUGACAUGAAAAGGAUGAAGUCAAUGUGCGAGAGAAAAUUUUGCCAGAGGUUUGAUCAAGAGACUGUGGUGACAACAUUAGUUCUGGCCGUCCAGUACAAUUGCAGCAUCCUCAAAGAUGCUUGCAUUAAAUUUAUCAACUCCUUGAGUACUGUGGAUGGUGUGGUUGCAAGUAAAGGGUAUCAACAACUAAAAAGAGAAUGCCCUACUAUCUUUGCCGAUAUGUGGGAGAAGGCAGCCAAGGCUCGAAAAUUUUAG